GUCUUGCUCUGUUGCCCAGGCUGGACUGCAGUGGCGCGAUCUUGGCUCACUGCAGCUUCCGCCUACCAGGUUCCAGGGAUUUUCCUGCCCCAGUCUCCGGAGUAGCUGGGACUACAGGCACGCGCCAGCGCAGUCAGCUAAUUUUUGUAUUUUUAGUAGAGACGGGGUUUCACCUUGUUGGCCAGGAUGGUCUCAAUCUCCUGAUCUCAUGAUCCGCCCGCCUCGGUCUUCCAAAGUGCUGGGAUUACAGGCGUGAGCCACCGCGCCCGGCUGAAAUGCAGUUUUAUAUAUAAAGAAAGAACCACCUUGCCCAAGAUACCAGUAGUACUCACUUUGAAACACUAUGAAAGGUCUACAACAAGUUGCAUCAUCUUAAAAAAUUCUCCAUUAUAUUUAAUCUAAGAGGACUUAGAAGAGGACUGAGGAGUGGGGAGAAGACAGGAGAGUGUGAAAUACAUGGGGGCUCCCAUAUGUUGGGACAGAACAUGGUCCUCUCAGGAAUUUCAUGGCUCUAACUGCGUUUCAGCCUAGCUUAUCUUACCAGCAUUUAUUUCAACAUUAGGAUCUGGGACUUGACUUGCCAAUUCUUCAUGACACAGCUGUGGUACUACUUACUCAGCUAGGAAUAACAAAAGGUGUAGACUUUUUCUUUUUUCCUUUUUUCAGACAGGGUCUCGCUCUGUUGCCCAGGCUGGAGUGCAGUAAUGUGAUCAUAGCUCACUGCAGCCUCCAUAUCCCAGGCUCAAGUGAUCCUCCUGACUCAGCCUCUCCAGUAGCUGAGAUUACAGGCACACAGCGCCACACCUGGCUAAUUUUUUUGGGUUUUAGUAGAGAUGAGGUCUUGCUGUGUUGCCCAGGCUGGUCUUGAACUCCUAAACUCAAGCAAUCCUCCUGCCUUGGCAUCCCAAAAUGUUGGGAUUACAGGCAUGAGCCACUGCUCCUGGCCAAUAAAGACUUCUGAUUGAUGUAAUGUUAUUCAG
rnacentral:lncRNA from 10 species